CAAAAGGGUGCUUGCCUUACGCUAAUGGCACGUCAGAUCGUGAUCCUUUAACCGGGAUUCGGUUUGAUGAGGUAUGGUAAUCAAGACAUACCUAGCACUUAAUUUUUUUAUUAGGAGAGCUGUUGAGAGCUACUAGUUACGCGUCGACGCUUUC